UCAGACAUAAGAUCCCCUCGUGAUCCGGGCGGUUGCCUUGGCACCAGUUGGCACCAGGUGUCUCAGGCAACCCGGGCCAUGUCCCGGGAGCGGCUGGGAGCCCGAGAGCCCUUCAUAUUGACCCACACGUGGUCAGACUGGGAUGCUCUGACUCUCCAAGGGUUGCUGCCUCCACUUGAAAGUAAGAAAACGUCACACCUUUAAAAAUAGCUCACAGUUGUGCCUUUUCGAUAACUACAGGAGCCUGGUAUUCCCCUCAGAGAGAGUGAGCGAAAAAGCACAAGCAUGGGAAGCAACAAGCAGAGGGAGAAGCAGUCUCCCCACUGAGCAAGGAGCUGGAUAUGGGAUCAUGAUCUGAGCCGAAGACGGAUGCUUAACCCACUGAGCCACCCAGGCCCCCCUCUCCAGCCUCUUUUUAAAGUCCUGACCUGGUGCAGGGCACUAUUUACGCAUCACAAUGGAGGCAGGUCUUCAAGAAUCCAGGCUCCCGAGCAGGGGCACGCUUCAGUCCCGGCAGCCUCCUGUGUCCCAGCCCGCCGUCCACUUCCUUGCCUUGUGUUAUAAACACAUCUCAAGCUUCAGCUGCAAUGGCCCACCUUCAGGUUCAUUAGCGUGGCUGACAGUUCUUAGGGCAUGUCCUUCUGCUCCUCCACGGAAUCUUCUAGAGUACGGCUUCACAGCCUGCAUGAUGGAUCACAUGGCACGUGUUGACCUUGUGCCCUGCAGCAAGUUACUUAACUCUUUCUGUGCCUCAUUCUCUUCUGGGAAAUGAGAAUAAUAGAGGUAUCUGAUUUAUAGGGUGAUAUGUGCUGGUUAAGUGGGGUGAUUCCUGUAUGGUUGUUAGCAACAGUGGCAAACAUCUAGAAAGCAGCAAGACAAAAGACUCCCGUCAUUAUUAUCAAUUCUGGGAACUGUUCCACUCAUCUCUCAGGAAUCAGCUCCGUUGUCACCUCUUUCAGGAAGCCUUCCCUGACUCCCACCUGCCAGCUGAGGUCGCUGCCCCUCCUCUGGGUUCUGACUCACCCUGAGCUCACCUCGGUCACCACCCUUAUCAACUGUGUGGUAACGGUCUGUUUACUAGUCUCAAUAGACUGUCACUUCCUUUAGCAGAGGUUGGAAAUGGACCGCUUGCUAGCCCAAACCACAGGUGUGCUUUAAGUGUGGACUACAAGGGAAUUUGGAAACAUUUUGAUGGGAGGCAAUUCUUUAAAAAAGCUAUGAAAUAAUAUAUUAAAAAAAAUAAAGUCUGUGAAAAAAAAAUAGGAUGAUUUUACAUAAAAACCUAGAUCUCCAGCUUUUCUUGGAAAAUUAGGAACUGUGCUAACCCAAGCCACCAUCAUCACCGGCACCUGGUACCCGCACAGUAUCACCUUACACAGGCUCCAGCCGUUGUCUGCGGCAGGCCCAACCCAGUCCAAUUAGCUCACACCCUCUGCCCCAGAAAUCCAGUGAGAUAAGUUAUCUUCUUAAUCUGGGCACUUUUGAGAGUGAAAGGGGGAUGUUAUUUAUACCUACAAAUCAACUAGAC